GACGAACGCUGGCGGCGUGCCUAAUACAUGCAAGUAGAACGCAGUUGCGAACGGGUGAGUAACGCGUAGGUAACCUGCCUCAUAGCGGGGGAUAACUAUGGGAAACGAUAGCUAAUACCGAAUACUGUGAGAUGGAUCUGCGUUGUAUUGGCUAGUGGGUGAGGUAAAGGCUCACCAAUGCGACGAUACAUAGCCGACCUGAGAGGUGUAUCGGCCACACUGGGAGUGAGACUAGGCCCAGACUCCUACGGGAGGCAGCCGUAGGGAAUCUUCGGCAAUGGACGGAAGUCUGACCGGGCAACGCCGCGUGGGUGAAAAAGGUUUUCGGAUCUUAAGGCUCUGUUGUGAGAGAAGGGGUGGCUAACCAGAAAGGGACGGCUAACUACGUGCCAGCGGCCGCGGUAAUUC
rnacentral:rRNA from 1 species